rfam:Nicotiana attenuata strain TT chromosome 5, whole genome shotgun sequence.
UGAUUAUGAUGAGGACAAUCUCGAAGCAACCUCUUGAACCUUUCCCAGGCAGAAUAUAAGGACUCGCCUUCCCUCUGUUCAAAAGCGACUAUCUCACUUCUGAUUUU